GCCCGCUCAGAAACUUAAAGGAAUUGACGGGGGCCCGCACAAGCGGUGGAGCAUGUGGUUUAAUUCGACGCAACGCGAAGAACCUUACCAGGGCUUGACAUCCCCUGACCGCGUAUGAAAGUACGUUUUCACCCUCGGGUGACAGGGAGACAGGUGGUGCAUGGUUGUCGUCAGCUCGUGUCGUGAGAUGUUGGGUUAAGUCCCGCAACGAGCGCAACCCCUACGUUUAGUUGCUAACAGGUGAAGCUGAGCACUCUAGACGAACUGCCGUUGACAAAACGGAGGAAGGUGGGGAUGACGUCAAAUCAUCAUGCCCCUUAUGUUCUGGGCUACACACGUGCUACAAUGGCCGGUACAGACGGAGGCGAAGCCGCGAGGCGGAGCAAAUCCGAAAAAGCCGGUCUCAGUUCGGAUUGCAGGCUGCAAUUCGCCUGCAUGAAGUCGGAAUCGCUAGUAAUCGCAGGUCAGCAUACUGCGGUGAAUACGUUCCCGGGCCUU
rnacentral:rRNA from 1 species